rnacentral:lncRNA from 1 species
AUGGAAGAGUGUGAUGGAAGAGUGUGCUACGCGGCGCGGAGCUGGAGCUCGUCAACUCGCUCCUUCCCGCCCGGGCUCGAGCAGGGCCCCUCCCCCGCCCGGAGGCGGCGGCCCCGGGGCCCGAGGGAACGGCUGGCGGUCCCGCCCCUUCCGGGCGCCGUCUCCCGGCAACGGCCCCAACAGCCCGGCCCGUCGCCCCGCCCCUUCCGGCUCCCGGGGCUCUGCGGGCGCCGUCUCCCGGCAACGGCCCCAACAGCCCGGCCCGUCGCCCCGCCCCUUCCGGCUCCCAGGGCUCUGCGGGCGCCGUCUCCCGGCAACGGCCCCAACAGCCCGGCGCGUUCCAUGCCGGGCUCCUCCAGGCAGAGCGCGCAGUCCCCGCCGCCGCCGCCGCCGCCCGGCGCCCUCCGCGCCCUCCGCGCCCUCCGCGCCCUCCGCGGCCUCCGCGCCCGGCUGGACGGGCUCCCGCUCACCGCCCGCAGCACCACCGGGCCCGGGACCUCGGCGACCGCGGCGAGGGCGCUCGCUUCCGGCCGCAGGGGGCGCCCGGCGGUCAGACCCGGCGGCCCGGCUCGCGGCCUCCCUGCCGUGGCGCAGCCCGGGCUCCCCCGCAGCCGCUCCUCCCCCGGGGCGCCCACGCCGCGCUGGGUCUCCGGCCCCCUCUGCCCAGGGGUCGCGGGCGCUGCCCCGGGUGGAAGCGGGGUGGAUGCCAGGCUCCGCGCCGCGCUGAGCUCGCACCCCUGCCGCUGCGGUGAUGCUCGCGGCCCGUUGACCUGCACAAGCACGUCCGCCUGCAGCACAGACCUGGAGCGUCCUCGAGGCAGGGCGCCCCCUCCCUGGCCCGCUGGCCCUGCAGCCUCCCGGCUCCCUGCAGCGGCCAGGGCCAGGGCGCCAGUCCCAGUCCAGCCCGAGCUGACCACGGCGCUCACCCGCCGGCCCAGCCGUCGUUCUGGGGCACAGAGGCCGGGCAGUGAGCGGGCCCUUCCGCUGGGAGGACCGGCCUAA